rnacentral:misc_RNA from 1 species
GCAAACUUGGUCAUUUAGAGGAAGUAAAAGUCGUAACAAGGUUUCCGUAGGUGAACCUGCGGAAGGAUCAUUAGAAGAAGAAAGAUCGAACAACCCGACGAACGUGCGGGGGGGGCGAUCGAAUCCAUAUCCACCCCGUGUGCACUCAUCGACCGUUUGCUUUGGCAGGGGGGAAGGAGCCUUCGAUCCGGAGGCGCCGGGAGGACACACGUAUGAGUGUGUAGAGACAUCUAUGCACGCGUGUGGCCUCGGCCUGCCAGAGUUUUCUUUCCCGAACUCGCGCUUUUUUACUUGCUUUGGACUGAACCUUCGUCUCGAUUCUCUUUGCAAUCGGUCGAACCAGAUACAACUUUCAACAACGGAUCUCUUGGCUCUCGCAUCGAUGAAGAACGCAGC